AGGAAUAUUGGUCAAUGGGCGAGAGCCUGAACCAGCCAAGUAGCGUGAAGGAUGACUGCCCUAUGGGUUGUAAACUUCUUUUAUAAAGGAAUAAAGUCGGGUAUGGAUACCCGUUUGCAUGUACUUUAUGAAUAAGGAUCGGCUAACUCCGUGCCAGCAGCCGCGGUAAUACGGAGGAUCCGAGCGUUAUCCGGAUUUAUUGGGUUUAAAGGGAGCGUAGAUGGAUGUUUAAGUCAGUUGUGAAAGUUUGCGGCUCAACCGUAAAAUUGCAGUUGAUACUGGAUAUCUUGAGUGCAGUUGAGGCAGGCGGAAUUCGUGGUGUAGCGGUGAAAUGCUUAGAUAUCACGAAGAACUCCGAUUGCGAAGGCAGCCUGCUAAGCUGCAACUGACGUUGAGGCUCGAAAGUGUGGGUAUCAAACAGGAUUAGAUACCCUGGUAGUCCACACGGUAAACGAUGAAUACUCGCUGUUUGCGAUAUACUGCAAGCGGCCAAGCGAAAGCGUUAAGUAUUCCACCUGGGGAGUACGCCGGCAACGGUGAAACUCAAAGGAAUUGACGGGGGCCCGCACAAGCGGAGGAACAUGUGGUUUAAUUCGAUGAUACGCGAGGAACCUUACCCGGGCUUAAAUUGCAGAUGAAUUACGGUGAAAGCCGUAAGCCGCAAGGCAUCUGUGAAGGUGCUGCAUGGUUGUCGUCAGCUCGUGCCGUGAGGUGUCGGCUUAAGUGCCAUAACGAGCGCAACCCUUGUUGUCAGUUACUAACAGGUUCCGCUGAGGACUCUGACAAGACUGCCAUCGUAAGAUGUGAGGAAGGUGGGGAUGACGUCAAAUCAGCACGGCCCUUACGUCCGGGGCUACACACGUGUUACAAUGGGGGGUACAGAGGGCCGCUACCACGCGAGUGGAUGCCAAUCCCCAAAACCUCUCUCAGUUCGGACUGGAGUCUGCAACCCGACUCCACGAAGCUGGAUUCGCUAGUAAUCGCGCAUCAGCCACGGCGCGGUGAAUACGUUCCCG
rnacentral:rRNA from 1 species